rnacentral:rRNA from 1 species
AGCGAACGCUGGCGGUAGGCCUAACACAUGCAAGCCGAACGACAGCACAGUAAGAGCUUGCUCUUACGGGUGGGGAGUGGCGGACGGGUGAGGAAUAACUCGGAAUCUACUUUUUCGUGAGGGAGAACGUAGGGAAACUUACGCUAAUACCGCAUACGCCCUACGGGUGAAAGCAGGGGAUCUUCGGACCUUGCGCGAUUGAAUGAGCCGAUGUCGGAUUUGCUGGUUGGGGGGGUAAAGGCCCACCAGGGCGACGAUCCGUAGCUGGUCUGAGAGGAUGGUAAGCCACAUGGGAGGUGAGACAGGGACAAGGCUCCUGCGAGAGGCAGCAGUGGGGAAUGUUGGACAAUGGGGGGAAGUCUGGUCCAGCCAGACCGCGUGUGUCAAAGAGGCGUUCGGUGUGUAAAGACCUUUUGUUGGUAAAGAAAAUCAGCCGGUUAAUACCACGCUAUUGUGACGGUACCCAAAGAAGAAGCACCGGCUAACUUCGUG